ACGUUCGGCUCAUUUAAUCUGAUUCGUUAAAAUAUCGAGCCGAAAAAUUCAGCUCAUGUUCGGUUCGCUAAUAAUAAGUCAGACACGAGCUUGCUAACGGACAACAAGUUAAAAAGAUUAGAUUAAACAAGCCGAACACGAGCUGGCCAACGAAUUAUAAGUAAAAAGUAUUAGAUUAGAUAUAUAUAAAAAAUAAAUUUAUAAAAUCUUAUCUAUUAGACUUGGAAUCUAAUAGUUGAAACUUUAUAUAUAAAUCAGUCUUUUUAUAAUUGAGUUCGACUUUAUAUUUUAAUUUUGUUAAAAAUCAAAUAAUAAAAAUAUAUAUUUAUAUAUAAUUAUAUAAAUAUAAAAUAUAUGUAUUCGAACUGUUAUUGAGCCGAACACGAGCGAGCUAACCCCAGCUCAUGUUCAGCUCAUUUAUGAAAUGAGCUGAAAAUUAAUUGUUAUAAUAGAUCAUUUUCUUUCGAUUUCUUUCUCUUUUUUAAUCCGAAUAAGAGAAUAUAUAUAUAUAUAUAGAGUAGAGCUAGAAUACUUGUAAAAGUAUCACCCAAGUGAUACUUGUGUGUUUUUAGCCCUUGGAUGGAGAGAUGUGAGGUUGAGAUGAUGGUGGUAGGUGGUGGUAGAUGAAAUAGUGUUUGAUCUAAAGGCUAUUAGUAAUUAAAAAGUAGAUCCAAUGGUUAAAAACACACAAGUAUCACUUGGGUGAUACUUGUAAAUAUUCUAGCCCUACUCUAUAUAUAUAUAUAUAUAUAUAUAUAUAUAUAUAUAUAUAUAUAUAUAUUUUGGCUCAUUUAAAUAUUAAAUAGAAGUUCUACAUAAAAGAUUAUGGUGGCGGAUGAUGGAUUGCUAGAAGCCUUGCAUCCAAAUUAUUUAGCUAAGAACUAGCCAAAAAAGUACUUGAAAAUAAUUGUUUUGCGUUUUAUUUUUAUUUUUAAGUAACUUGCUUUUACUCAUUCCCUGAGUAUGAGGUACCCAAAAACUUAUUUCUGUAUAAAAAAGUUAUUUCUACAUUGUGUAAAUUUUACAACUUUCUAUUCAAGAGUGUAGAAAUAUUUUUGGAUUUUUAAUAUUAAAAGAAGGAUUUAUAAAACCAGUAAAAGUUAUUGAUCUUCGCACACAACAAAAACGGUCUAUAGCGACACUUUUAAAUGUAGGUACAUGUCAAAAAAGUGCUGCUAGCUAAAAUUACCGACACUUUUAAAAAGUGUUGCUAUAUGUGGGGUCGCUAGGUAUAUAGUGACAGUUAAAGAGUGUCGCUAUAACCUAAAAGAGUGCUGCUAAUUUACCAACAACUUAUUUAAGCAUUUAGCAACCGCCGAAACUCUAUCUCGUUGGUUGCGGUGGCGGAGGAGGACAACAGGAAUGACUCUUCGUCUAGAAUUUCAGUGGAUUGAGUGAAGAGAGAAGAAAAUAUGGUAAUUGAUUUUUCUUUUUUUUUUUUUCUUUUCUGUUUGUAAUCGGGCCAAAUGGACUGGGUGUGGUGGGUUGAGUAGAGUAAUCUUUUAUUUUUGGUUGGAUUAGGCUUUAUUUUUAGGCAUUAGUAGAUGUUUCUUUAAGUUUUAGCAUAAAUGGGACACUUACUCAAAAGUGUCCCAAACAUGUGUCCCUAUAACCUAAUUCUGUUGUAGUGUUGUAUGCACAAAAUGUAAGAUUUACAUACUUUUUUUUGUAUAUAUUAUCAUAUCGUUGGCAUUAAUUAUUAAUUUCAAAAGUUCGAACUCUUUUUUUUUUUUUUUUUUGAGAGAGAGAGAGAUAGAUAGCACGCUACCCGCUUCGUUUUUUUCAUUUAGAAACAAACUUAGCUGGAAAUGUGAAUCUCAACUAGGAUUCGAGCUUAGGACAUCGGAUUCGAACGGUUAAAAAUAUGCAAUCAAUUUACUUAAAGCGUACAGACACAGCAUCUAUGAAUCUCGAUUGUGACUCUGCUUUACCAGCCUUACACCAUUUUGAACAUGACUUGCCCUAAUUCUGCUUAUCGCUAUAGAGCAGGAUGCUGGCCUUUUAAGUCUACGCAUAGGUAGCAUUGCUCUAUAUAACUUUACCUUUACUCAUGUUUCUUUUUUUCUUUUUUUUUUAAUGGCUGGCUUUGCAAAGAUCCACAAUCUCUCCAGAUCAUUAGAUAGGUGGCAUGCCAUCACUCAGAAUAUUAGCAUCACAAGUCAAAACAAUACCAACCCACCAUUAGUUCUACUAGGAAAUCAUGAACUUAAAAGUGGCAAAGGAGAAAAAUAGUGAGUGCAUGAUAUGAAUAGGAUCAUCACAUUCAGUAGUGGAUGGUGGAGCAGGAAGCUUGAUAAAGUAGUGCAUCAGAAGAGGCCAUUUAUUAUUAGGUCAAUUGGUUCCUGUUUACAGUUGAAAAAACUCUUGUGUAAUGCAAGAAAGAAAAAAGAAAAGAAAAGAAGGAACUAAAAAGUAUGAUCACUACAAUAAAAAUGGUGUAUAGCGACACUUUUAAAUAUCGGUAUAUGUCAAAAAAGAUGUUGCUAGCUAAAUUACCAACACUUUUAAAAAGUAUUGCUAUAUGUGGGGUCGCUAGGUAUAUAGUGACAAUUUAAGAGUGUCGGUAUAACUUAAAAAAAGUGCUGUUAAUUUACCAAUACUUAUUUAAGCAUUUAGCAACCACCAGAACUCUACCUCAUUAGCUGCGGUGGCGGAGAAAGAGGAGAACAAAGGGCUUUUCAUCUAGGGUUUCAGUGGAUUGAGUGAGGGGAGAAUGGGAGAUGGUGAUCGAUUUUUUUUUUCUUUUUUUGUUUGUAAUCGAGCCGAAUGGGCUGGGUGGGGUGGGUUGAGUAGAGUAACCUUUUAUUUUUAGUUGAAUUGAGCUUUAUAUUUAGGCCUUAGUGGAUUUUUUUAAAAAUUUUUGACAUAAAUAAGACACUUAAAUAAAAGUGUUCUAAAUAUAUGUCUCUAUAAUCUAAUUCUGUUGUAGUGGAUGUUGGAUUCAUCUGUUUGUUUUGAGAAGCCAACAGUCAAAGAUCAUCAGAAAUAUUCUUCUAGUUUUUCUUUUUGUUUCCUUGCUGCUUUCUUUCACUACUGGAGACUUUUCUCUUCUUCUGUUCUUACAUAUCAGAUACUAUAUAUAUAAUUUUAUAAAUAUCUUUAAACUCGAGCUAGGCAGAUUUGAAAAUAAAUUAAGGUGUUUCGAUGUGGUUCGCAGUCGAGAAUUAUUAGUGGAUUGAGAUCUACAUGAUUAUUUUUAUCUGUAGUAUUCUCUAUAUUCUGUUCUGUUUUAUGGCUUUGAAGUUUAUAAGCUUGAUUUAUGUAUUAGUUGAUGUUUAGAUCUAGGGACUAAUUAGCAUAUCUUUCCAUUUCUAUUUUUAGGUCCUCUUUUAUAAUUUUUAAGAUAAUUAUGUUCUCUUUUUUACACUAUAUAUGUGAGUACUUGCUUCUUUUAUUUUUCAAAAUUAUAAAAUGACAUAAUUAAGCUUUACUUUUUAAUGAGUUGCCUAUGGGUUGAACCUCAAAAGAAAAAAAUGUUCAAAAGUUUUUUUUUUUUUUUUCGGGUGAAGUUAUAAAUAUUUUUUGAGGAUGUUACAUAAUAAUUAUAUGAAUAAUCUUAUCAUUUGAACAUAAGUGAUUACGCAUUUCUAGCUGAGUUAAAAAAAAAAAGUACAAGUAGCUCGAUACCUUUCUGUCAAAAAAAUAAUAUUUCAACCAUCAUGAACACGGCUUAAUUACAAUCGUUUAGUUAUUACUUUUAAAAUAGAACCAAUUAUUUUUUUCAACUUUGUCACACCAUUAAUAAUCCCUGAAAUAAUAAGAACAUACAUAGCUAGAAAACACCUCUUGCACAAAUUGUAAAUUAUCUUACCUACUGAAAGGAUCCAAAACAUCAGACAAUUUAAAGGCCAAUCCUAGACCUCAUAAAAUACAAGACACAAGUAAUCUAAUCAAUGUUGUAAUUGCAAAAGAAAAUUUUGAGCUAAAUAGAUCUGAUAUACUUAAAUAAAUUCAAACUUUUGAGCCCAAAAUAAUCCAAUUCACCAAGUUGUCACCCUAGGUCCACAAAAUAAAAUGAGACAAUAUAUAUAGAGUAGGGAUAGAAUACUUGUAAAAGUAUCAUGGGGGUGAUACUUGUGUAUUUUUAGCCCUUGGAUGGAGAGAUGUGAGGUUGAGAUGAUGGUGGUAGAUGGUGGUAGGUGGUGGUAGGUGGAAUAGUGUUUAAUCCAAUGGCUAUUAAUAAUCAAAAAGUAGAUCCAAUGGCUUAAAACCUAAUAGCACCAUGAUGGUGAUACUUGUAAAAAUAUCAUAGCUCAACUCAUAUAUAUAUAACAAUUAUUUGCUCAUUCAU
rnacentral:lncRNA from 1 species